UUAGCCGGGGCUUCCUCCUCAAGUACCGUCAUUAUCUUCCUUGAGGACAGAGCUUUACGACCCGAAGGCCUUCAUCGCUCACGCGGCGUUGCUGCAUCAGGCUUUCGCCCAUUGUGCAAUAUUCCCC
rnacentral:rRNA from 1 species